rnacentral:tRNA from 1 species
GCGCUCAUAGCUCAGCUGGAUAGAGCACUUGGCUACGAACUAAGGGGUCGGGAGUUCGAAUCUCUCUGAGCGCU